AGGACGAACGCUGGCGGCGUGCUUAACACAUGCAAGUCGAGCGGAAAGGCCCUUCGGGGUACUCGAGCGGCGAACGGGUGAGUAACACGUGAGUAACCUGCCCCUAGCUCUGGGAUAGCUCCGGGAAACCGGGAUUAAUACCAGAUACGACCACUUUAGACAUCUGUCGUGGUGGAAAGGAUUCCGGCUAGGGAUGGGCUCGCGGCCUAUCAGCUUGUUGGUGGGGUAACGCCUACCAAGGCGACGACGGGUAGCCGGCCUGAGAGGGCGACCGGCCACACUGGGACUGAGACACGGCCCAGACUCCUACGGGAGGCAGCAGUGGGGAAUAUUGCGCAAUGGGCGAAAGCCUGACGCAGCGACGCCGCGUGGGGAUGAAGGCCUUCGGGUUGUAAACCCCUUUCAGCAGGGACGAAGCGAAAGUGACGGUACCUGCAGAAGAAGCGCCGGCUAACUACGCGCCAGCAGCCGC
rnacentral:rRNA from 1 species